rnacentral:rRNA from 1 species
AGUUCGUGGAGUGAUCUGUCUGCUUAAUUGCGUUUCAUAACGAUUUAAAACACUAUGUUUUAACGUUUGCUGUUCACCAUUUGACCUUCGCGUUACAUUGGUUUGAACGCACGUAGCAUGGUUAAAAACAAUCGGAAAGCAACGAACGUGACCGCAACCUCUUAUUGCCCUUAUUUUUUAAAAGCACGCUUGCUGGUCUAAUUUUUACUUUCGGGUAAUUUUUAGGCUAUGUCUUAAAGUGUGUUGAAAAGGGCUUUAAAAUUAGAGGGACCGCUGUUCUAUUUUCUUUAAACCAGAGGAAGAUUGCGGCAAUAACAGGUCU